rnacentral:rRNA from 1 species
UACGUAGGGGGCAAGCGUUGUUCGGAAUCACUGGGCGUAAAGCGCACGCAGGCGGAUCGUUAAGUCAGGGGUGAAAUGCCGAGGCUCAACCUCGGAACUGCCUUUGAUACUGGCGAUCUUAGAGUCCGGGAGAGGUGAGUGGAACUCCGAGUGUAGAGGUGAAAUUCGUAGAUAUUCGGAAGAACACCAGUGGCGAAGGCGGCUCACUGGCCCGGUACUGACGCUCAGGUGCGAAAGCGUGGGGAGCAAACAGG